rnacentral:lncRNA from 1 species
UACUGAUGAAAAGGAUACUGAGAGAUCAAUUUUUCUUGAGUUGGCGACAUUAUCUAUUCUAAGGUCGGCACAUUCAGGUAAUCUCAAUGCCCUUCUUUGUUUUACCUUACUCGAUUAUGGAGGGAUUGAAAUCCAACAGUUAAAGAACCAGAGAUGUCACAGUGCAGAUCAAUGAUGAUGAAGAAAUGAAGUAUCAAUCUCUUAAAUAUGCACAGCCAGAAGCUGGCUGUUUGGUAAUUAAGAUUCACAGGUUGAUAAUCAGGUUAGUCUUGAUUUUAUAUUUGCUCAUAUAGUCAUAUACUUGAAGCACCAUGAGUCUUUUUACAUUGAUAUAU